rnacentral:rRNA from 1 species
AUUCCAGCUCCAAUAGCGUAUAUUAAAGUUGUUGCAGUUAAAAAGCUCGUAGUUGGAUUUGUGGUGUGUCCAGUCGACCUUUGCUCUUUGAGUGAUUGUGUUGUACUGGUCUGCCAUGUUUGGGUGGAAUCUGUGUGGCAUUAAGUUGUCGUGCAGGGGAUGCCCAUCGUUUACUGUGAAAAAAUUAGAGUGUUCAAAGCAGGCUUAUGCCGUUGAAUAUAUUAGCAUGGAAUAAUGAUAUAGGACCUUGGUACUAUUUUGUUGGUUUGCGCACUAAGGUAAUGAUUAAGAGGGACAGUUGGGGGUAUUUGUAUUCCAUUGUCAGAGGUGAAAUUCUUGGAUUUUUGGAAGACAAACUACUGCGAAAGCAUUUACCAAGGAUGUUUUCAUCA